CGUUAUCAAAAACAUCUCUUUUUGAUUAAAAUUUUAAGUUGACUCUGCCCAAUGAAAUUUAAAUGGCUGCAGUAUAUUGACUGUACAAAGGUAGCAUAAUAAUUUGUUUUUUAAAUGAAAACUUGAAUGAAAGAGGUGAUGAAAUAUAAUCUUUAUUUAUUUAAAAUUAUUGAAUUUAAUUUUUAAAUUAAAAAGUUUAAAUUUAAUUAAGGGACGAGAAGACCCUAUAGAAUUUAACAAUAUAAAUUAAUUAUUGAUAAAUAAAUAAAAUUGUUUAUUUGGGAGGAAUAUUAAAAUUUUAAACUUUAAUAAGAUUUUACAUAUUUAAAUGAUUAAAUAGGAUUUUAAGUUUUUAAAUGUAAGAUUAAAUUACCUUAGGGAUAACAGCGUAAUAUUUUUUGAUAGUUCAUAUUAAAAAAAAUGUUUGCGACCUCUGGUUGA
rnacentral:rRNA from 1 species